rnacentral:rRNA from 1 species
CCUACGGGUGGCAGCAGUGAGGAAUAUUGGUCAAUGGGCUUACGCCUGAACCAGCCAAGUCGCGUGAGGGAAGACUGCCCUAUGGGUUGUAAACCUCUUUUGUCAGGGAGCAACGCCGGCUACGUGUAGCCGGACUGAGAGUACCUGAAGAAAAAGCAUCGGCUAACUCCGUGCCAGCAGCCGCGGUAAUACGGAGGAUGCGAGCGUUAUCCGGAUUUAUUGGGUUUAAAGGGUGCGUAGGCGGAAUGCCAAGUCAGCGGUAAAAUCGCGGGGCUCAACCUCGCUCCGCCGUUGAAACUGGAAGACGUGAGUGUGUUUGAGGUAGGCGGAAUGCGUGGUGUAGCGGUGAAAUGCAUAGAUAUCACGCAGAACUCCGAUUGCGAAGGCAGCUUACUAAGCCAUAACUGACACUGAAGCACGAAAGCGUGGGGAUCAAACAGGAUUAGAUACCCUUGUAGUC